rnacentral:rRNA from 1 species
UACGUAGGGGGCAAGCGUUGUCCGGAUUUAUUGGGCGUAAAGAGCGUGUAGGCGGCCAUACAGGUCCGUUGUGAAAACUGGAGGCUUAACCUCCAGACGUCGAUGGAAACCGUAUGGCUAGAGUCCGGAAGAGGAGAGUGGAAUUCCUGGUGUAGCGGUGAAAUGCGCAGAUAUCAGGAAGAACACCCGUGGCGAAGGCGGCUCUCUGGGACGGUACUGACGUCUGAGGAGCGAAAGCGUGGGGAGCGAACAGG